rnacentral:rRNA from 1 species
CCAGGGUGAGAGACCCUCUCGCCGUAAGUCCAAGGGUUCCUGCUUAAAGCUAAUCUGAGCAGGGUAAGCCGGCCCCUAAGGCGAGGCCGAAAGGCGUAGUCGAUGGGAACCACGUUAAUAUUCGUGGGCCAGGAGGAAGUGACGGAUCUCAAAGAUUGUCUGCCCUUAUCGGAUUGGGUGGGCCGUUCAGAGGUUCCAGGAAAUAGCCCCCCAUCAGACCGUACCCUAAACCGACACAGGUGGACUGGUAGAGUAUACCAAGGCGCUUGAGAGAACCACAUUUAAGGAACUCGGCAAAAUGCCUCCGUAAGUUCGCGAGAAGGAGGCCCUACUUUUAGGCAACUAGAGGUAGGGGGCACAAACUAGGGGGUGGCGACUGUUUACUUAAAACACAGGGCUGUGCGAAGUCGUAAGACGACGUAUACAGUCUGACGCCUGCCCGGUGCUGGAAGAUUAAGAGGAGGGGUGCAAGCUCUGAAUUGAAGUCCCAGUAAACGGCGGCCGUAACGAUAACGGUCCUAAGGUAGCGAAAUUCCUUGUCGGGUAAGUUCCGACCUGCACGAAUGGCGUAACGAUCUCCCCGCUGUCUCAAAUGUGGACUCAGCGAAAUUGAACUGUGUGUCAAGAUGCACACUACCCGCGGUUAGACGGAAAGACCCCAUGCACCUUUACUCCAGCUUUGCACUGGUAUCAGGAUUGUGAUGUGCAGGAUAGGUGGUAGGCAUCGAAGCGGGGACGCCAGUCUUCGUGGAGCCUCCCUUGAGAUACCACCCUUCGCACUCUUGAUAUCUAACCGCGGCCCGUUAUCCGGGUCCGGGACCCUUCAUGGGGGAGUUUGACUGGGGCGGUCGCCUCCCAAAUUGUAACGGAGGCGCGCGAAGGUAGGCUCAGACCGGUCGGAAAUCGGUCGUUGAGUGCAAUGGCAGAAGCCUGCCUGACUGCAAGACUUACAAGUCGAGCAGAGACGAAAGUCGGUCAUAGUGAUCCGGUGGUCCCAAGUGGGAGGGCCAUCGCUCAACGGAUAAAAGGUGCGCUGGGGAUAACAGGCUGAUGAUGCCCAAGAGUCCAUAUCGACGGCAUCGUUUGGCACCUCGAUGUCGGCUCAUCUCAUCCUGGGGCUGGAGCAGGUCCCAAGGGUAUGGCUGUUCGCCAUUUAAAGAGGUACGUGAGCUGGGUUUAGAACGUCGUGAGACAGUUCGGUCCCUAUCUGCCGUGGGUGUAGGAGACUUGAGAAGAGUUGCCCCUAGUACGAGGGGACCGGGGUGAACGUUCCACUGGUGGACCAGUUGUCGUGCCAACGGCAGUGCUGGGUAGCUAUGAACGGACAGGAUAAACGCUGAAGGCAUCUAAGCGUGAAGCCCCCUUCAAAACAAGGUCUCCCUUGAGAGCCGUGGAAGACCACCACGUCGAUAGGCCAGAGGUGUAAGAGCAGUAAUGCUUUCAGCUGACUGGUACUAAUUGCUUGA